UCAUUUAAACCUUCAAGCUCAGCUUGGUGUUGGGUGACUGUCCGCCGCCUCCGGGCGUGGACUCGCCUCAAAAUUAUUGGCGGCCGGUACAUUGGCUUCGAGCGCAGCAGAAACGCGAACUCGAGCCCGACGUAUCGUCUCCCAGAAGCCAUCUUCACAAUUUUGACCUCGGAUCAGGUAGGGAUACCCGCUGAACUUAA
rnacentral:misc_RNA from 1 species